CCAAAAUAAUAGUGCAUUUAAAGUGAAUAAAAGAAACCCCAAAAUAAGUAAUUUGGGACAGGUAUGACAGCCUCACAAUGUCAUAAGGGAUCCCAGCUUCUCUCAUUUUGCACCACCAUCCUAGGACAUGGCUUCCGUGUUCAAGUUCACUCACAAUCUGAGACAGCUGCAGGAGUUCCAGUCAUUACAUAUGUCUUGGUUUCUUGAAUUAUCCUUUGACGUCAUGGGACUUCUAAGGCACUUGCUGCCAAAGGAGCCGGAAGGUUUGAUAUGGAAAAAUAGCCUGGUCAUGUUCAAAGAGAGAGAUUAGCACUGGUACUGUCUUUUGGCCAGUUGGAGUCUUCACUUCUCUGCAGUCGAGGUUUGGAAGUGGUUCUAUCCUGGCACAAGAGAAAUGCCUUUGUGAAAGGCAUAUUUGGAGAUUUCUUAUUUCUAGACUUGUCUUGAAGCCAACAGAUCCAGCUCUCUCCUACCAAGUACCAGGAAAUUUAAACAAAACAAAACAACUCACAAGAUAAAACAACAGCAGCAGCAACAGCAACAAAAUCUUAAAAUACAUUAUUAUUAGUGUAAGUAUCAAGCAUCAAAAACCCCUAAGGUUCCCAGCAGGUAACCCAAUCCUUCAGUUGGUGUCCAAUAUUUGGGAUCAUGUGCUUUAAGAAUGAAAUACCCCAAAUGGUAUAAAAAAAAGAAAGAAAGAAAGAAAGAAGGAAAGAAGGAAAGAAAAAAGAAAAAGAAAAGAUUUCCAGAGAAAAGUAUAAAAUUUUUUGAGUUGAACAUUGUGAGGGAGUUGAUGGGGGCAGUUUU